GAAGGGGGCUAGCGUUGCUCGGAAUCACUGGGCGUAAAGCGCACGUAGGCGGACUCUUAAGUCGGGGGUGAAAUCCUGGAGCUCAACUCCAGAACUGCCUUCGAUACUGGGAGUCUCGAGUUCGGGAGAGGUGAGUGGAACUGCGAGUGUAGAGGUGAAAUUCGUAGAUAUUCGCAAGAACACCAGUGGCGAAGGCGGCUCACUGGCCCGAUACUGACGCUGAUGUGCGAAAGCGUGGGGAGCGAACAGGAUUAGAUACCCUGGUAGUCCACGCCGUAAACGAUGAAUGCUAGCCGUUGGCGGGUUUACUCGUCAGUGGCGCAGCUAACGCUUUAAGCAUUCCGCCUGGGGAGUACGGUCGCAAGAUUA
rnacentral:rRNA from 1 species